rnacentral:rRNA from 1 species
UACGUAGGGACCGAGCGUUGUCCGGAAUCAUUGGGCGUAAAGAGCUCGUAGGCGGCUUGUCACGUCGGAUGUGAAAACCCGGGGCUCAACCCCGGGCCUGCAUUCGAUACGGGCAGGCUAGAGUUCGGCAGGGGAGACUGGAAUUCCUGGUGUAGCGGUGAAAUGCGCAGAUAUCAGGAGGAACACCGGUGGCGAAGGCGGGUCUCUGGGCCGAUACUGACGCUGAGGAGCGAAAGCGUGGGGAGCGAACAGG